rnacentral:tRNA from 2 species
AGCUCAGUCGGUAGAGCACAUCCUUGGUAAGGAUGAGGUCACCGGUUCAAUCCCGGUC